CCUACGGGGAGCAGCAGUGGGGAAUAUUGGACAAUGGGCGAAAGCCUGAUCCAGCCAUGCCGCGUGUGUGAAGAAGGCCUUCGGGUUGUAAAGCACUUUCAGUGGGGAAGAAAGCCUUGGGGCUAAUACCCUCGAGGAAGGACAUCACCCACAGAAGAAGCACCGGCUAACUCCGUGCCAGCAGCCGCGGUAAUACGGAGGGUGCGAGCGUUAAUCGGAAUUACUGGGCGUAAAGCGCGCGUAGGCGGUCUGAUAAGCCGGUUGUGAAAGCCCCGGGCUCAACCUGGGAACGGCAUCCGGAACUGUCAGGCUAGAGUGCAGGAGAGGAAGGUAGAAUUCCCGGGGUAGCGGUGAAAUGCGUAGAGAUCGGGAGGAAUACCAGUGGCGAAGGCGGCCUUCUGGACUGACACUGACGCUGAGGUGCGAAAGCGUGGGUAGCAAACAGGAUUAGAUACCCUAGUAGUCC
rnacentral:rRNA from 1 species